GUCUGCAAUCGCUUCGACCGUACAUAUACAAAAAUUGGAACGUUACAGAGAUUAACAUGACCCCUGCACAAAGAUGACACACAAAUUUGUGAAGUGUUCCAUAUUUUU